rnacentral:rRNA from 1 species
GGUUCAGGUAUACUCCAACCCCUGUGACAUACCUGAACGUUGCCUCGGCGGGACCGCCCCGGCGCCCGCGACCGCGCGGCCCGGAACCAGGCGCCCGCCGGAGGACCCAAACUCUCAGUCUUUAUAGUGGCAUUCUCUGAGUCUCACAAACAAAAAUGAAUCAAAACUUUCAACAACGGAUCUCUUGGCUCUGGCAUCGAUGAAGAACGCAGCGAAAUGCGAUAAGUAAUGUGAAUUGCAGAAUUCAGUGAAUCAUCGAAUCUUUGAACGCACAUUGCGCCCGCCAGUAUUCUGGCGGGCAUGCCUGUCCGAGCGUCAUUUCAACCCUCAAGCCCCCAGGGCUUGGUGUUGGGGACCGGCCGCCCGCCGCGGCGGCCGCCCCCGAAAUGCAGUGGCGACCUCGCCGCAGCCUCCCCUGCGUAGUAGCACAACCUCGCACCGGAGCGCGGAGACGGUCACGCCGUGAAACGCCCAACUCUCAAGAGUUGACCUCGGAUCAGGUAGGAAUACCCGCUGAACUUAAGCAUAUCAAUAAGCCGGGAGGAAA